rnacentral:rRNA from 1 species
GAUCAUGGCUCAGGACGAACGCUGGCGGCGCGCCUAACACAUGCAAGUCGAACGGAGUGUUUUCACGGAAGUUUUCGGAUGGAAGUGGUUACACUUAGUGGCGGACGGGUGAGUAACACGUGAGCAACCUGCCUUUCAGAGGGGGAUAACAGUUGGAAACGACUGCUAAUACCGCAUGAUAUUACCGGGUCACAUGGCCUGGCAAUCAAAGGAGCAAUCCGCUGAAAGAUGGGCUCGCGUCCGA